UCUCAGUUCGGAUUGGAGUCUGNAACCCGACUCCAUGAAGCUGGAUUCGCUAGUAAUCGCGCAUCAGCCACGGCGCGGUGAAUACGUUCCCGGGCCUUGUACACACCGCCCGUCAAGCCAUGGAAGCCGGGGGUGCCUGAAGUGCGCUGCCGCGAGGAGCGCCCUAGGGUAAAACCGGUGACUGGGGCUAAGUCGUAACAAGGUAUC
rnacentral:rRNA from 1 species